AUUUGCGUAUCUCCUCAUCAGAACUGAGACUACUCCUUGGGGCUACCUAAAGUCAUGAAGACUUUUUGCUAACUUUGGCUGCACUGGUGCUCUUUUCCCAGGUCAUUCCAGGCAGCACUGACAAAUGCUGGAAUCUUCGUGGCUCCUGCCAUGACAAAUGUCCAAGAAUGAAAAAGUCUAUGUUUUCUGCAUGAGCGGUAAACUGUGCUGUGUGAAGCCCAAGUUCCAGCCAAAUAUAUCGCCAAAGUUAAUUAAUGCUUGAAGCUCGAGGGCACAAAAAUGAGGAUAACCCUGCCCUGAGUCUGACCUCAGCAGAUUCUUGAGUUUUAUUAAAAGAAUUUUGGCUGA